UUACUUCGGUACAUCGGUGACAGGUGGUGCAUGGUUGUCGUCAGCUCGUGUCGUGAGAUGUUGGGUUAAGUCCCGCAACGAGCGCAACCCCUAUUGUUAGUUGCCAUCAUUCGGUUGGGCACUCUAGCGAGACUGCCGGUAAUAAACCGGAGGAAGGUGGGGAUGACGUCAAAUCAUCAUGCCCCUUAUGACCUGGGCUACACACGUGCUACAAUGGUUGGUACAACGAGUUGCGAGUCGGUGACGGCGAGCUAAUCUCUUAAAGCCAAUCUCAGUUCGGAUUGUAGGCUGCAACUCGCCUACAUGAAGUCGGAAUCGCUAGUAAUCGCGGAUCAGCACGCCGCGGUGAAUACGUUCCCGGGCCUU
rnacentral:rRNA from 1 species